rnacentral:misc_RNA from 1 species
GGGAAUCUUACUGUGAGUGUCCCAGAGGAACUGAAGAAACUUGAUGCCAAAGCCACUGAAAUCUCUGGUUGAGUUAUUUCUUUAUUAUAAAUGGCAUGGGUGUAUGUCAACAGAUGAAGAAGAGUGUUUCUGUAUACGUUGGGUUUUGUGAGCAGUGUUUGAUGUAAUUUGUCCAAAAAUAAAAAUAUAUAUUAUAAUCUCCAGUAUUUUCUCUUUUAGAAAUAUUAGUAUUUUUUAUAAAAGAGAGACACAGAGGGGAGAAAAAGAAUAAAGUAACGUAGCAUGAUAGAUAUGAAAUGAUAUUCAAGGUAAAAUCAUCGGAUGCAGUAUGAAAGUGAUGCAGCAUAAAACUCCACAAGCCAAUCCAAACUCUAUGUGCCAAAGGUAAUAAUGUUAGCAUCUAUGCCGGCCCAAAUCUAAAAUUCCUUAAUAGUAAGAAGCCCCAGCAAACUACUUCCCCAUAAUUGCAGCACUUGGAUUUCUCUGGAUUAUAGACUGGGAGAGCAAGAUGGAAAAGAAGGGAGAACAAAGGCACGGGCGAUUGGUGGUGCUUGUUCCUUGCCCAUUCCAAGGCCACAUAAGUCCUAUGUUCGAGUUAGGCACCAUUCUUUACUGCAGGGGCUUCUCCAUUACAAUUGCUCACACAAAAUUCAACUUUCCUAACCCUGCCAACUAUCCGAAUUUCAGUUUCUUACCCAUAGCAGACCAUUUACCUGAGCAUGAUGUUGCAUCUCUCGAUAUUGUAUCUCUGAUAUCAUAUCUUAAUGGUAAUUGCGAAGCACCAUUGCUGGAAUCAUUGUCUCAAAUCAUGGAAAAGCCACACACAAAGAUCACUUGUAUCAUCUAUGAUACACUUAUGCACUACUCAGAAGCAGUGGCCAAUCGUCUGAAGCUACCUAGCAUAAUCUUAAGAACUAGCAGUGUUGCCACUUUGAUCGCUUACAGCAAAUUCACUCAGCUACAACAGGAAGGUUACUUUCCUUUAAAAGGUAUGAUUGGCUCUUAAAUCCUUCUGCAUGAGCCACCAAGACUUCACAACUAUCUUGAUUCUAUGAAUUAGUUUUCAAUAUUUUGCCAAUUUUCUGAUGUAACAUAACAUACUCCAUCUCAUCAUUUCAAGAAAUGCUUUAAAUCAGAAUUACCUUGCUACAGCAUCUACUACUUAAUGAUCAGCCAGCAAAUGCCAAUGAGGAAAACUCACUUUAUGUUUGCAGAGCAUCUAUUGCAGGAAAUGGUGCCUGUGCUUUAUCCCCUCAGGUUUAAGGACCUACCCACCAUCGAUUUUGCAAGUUUAGAAUCCUUGAUGGAAUUAACAAAUAUGAUUAUUGCCAAAAGGUCCUCAGCCAUCAUCUGGAAUAGCAUGGACUGCCUUGAAGAAUCAGAAUUGGCGCAGCACCAGCAACAAUACCAAGUUCCAUUCUUCUCUAUAGGCCCCCUGUACAAAUUUGCAACAGCCUCCUCCAGCAGCAUAAUUGCCGAGGACACCUGCUGCAUCACAUGGCUGGAUAGGAAAACUCCUAAUUCAGUAAUCUAUGUGAGCUUAGGAAGCUUGGCUUCUAUGACUGAGAAAGAGUUGGCUGAAAUGGCUUGGGGCUUAGCCAACAGUAAGCAGCCUUUCUUGUGGGUUAUAAGACCCAAUUCAGUGUGUGGUUCUGAAUGGAUUGAAUUGUUACCCAAGGAUUUCAAAGAAGCUGUUGGAGAAAGAGGCUGCAUUGUGAAAUGGGCACCGCAAAAGGAAGUAUUGGCACAUCCAGCAGUUGGAGGGUUUUGGAGUCACUGUGGUUGGAAUUCUACGCUUGAA